GGUUCCAUGGCUCAGUUGGUUAGCGCGUGGUGCUAAUAUCAUACCUCGUCGGGGGUAACAUGUUAACGCCAAGGUCGAGGGUUCGACCCCCUCUGGAACCA